rnacentral:lncRNA from 1 species
GCUCAACCUAUCCAUCCCGGCCUCUUCCUAAGACCAAGGCGCUGCUGACUCAACCCUGCUUCCAGAAGCCUAGGGUUAACAUCUGCUCCUUCCUCCUGUUUGCAUUCAGUGAAAUCCUCUCCUCUCCCAGGAGUUUCCACAUAAAACCUGCCUCUUUGUUUAUUAAGAAUUGUUUACAGAACUCUCAAGCAGCAAAGGCAAAGUACAGAAGAUAAAUAAGAGCAAGCUGGCCGGUGCGUGCGACUGGAUGGACAACAUCUUUACCCACAUGUCUGCAUCAGCUCUGCGUUGUUCACCGACAAAUCCCGUGUCUGGAAGAGUCCUGGCAGGCUGCACGGGCUGGAGAGAGAGCGAGCUGACACCAACACCAGGCAGAGUCCACCAUGAAGGCAAGUGGCAGUGUCCCAAGGAGAGCCCGCUGGCCAGGAGGGCACCGCAAGCUUGGACACAGCAGGGGCACUGGAGAUGGGUCCACGAACCGCGUGCGCAGCCCAGGAGGCUGGCACAACUGGUGUCUGCAUGAAGACUAGGAACAGCUGGCUUCUUAUCUCACACCAUACACAAACAUCAAUUUAGGAUACAUUAAAGGUGGAAAUGCAGUCAGCAGAAAACUGUCUCCAUGAGAUAAAUGCUCCUGCCCAAAGCCCACUCUAGCAAUGCUUCCUCCCUGAACCACAACUCUGAACAGGCUGCCACUCACUGCAACUCCUUGCACAUGACAGACUUGCUGGGAAGAGCAGAAACUAAAUAUGCCUUCCAUCAGCCAUGAAAAUGACUAAUGAAAAUGUAAAUGACCACGUGGCCCAAUCCUGGUUUCCAUGGGAAGACCAGCUGGCUCACCACCCAGCUAAGAGUUAUGGCCUAAAUCAGAGGUGAUCGGGGUGAUCAGAGUUGCUUACAUCAACGUUUCAAAACCCAGAAAUAAGAAAAUUAUUGUUCGAGGUCAAUAACCAUGUUUAUAACAACUUCCAACUUAAAAUGGAAGAGGAAUCCCUUGGAGAACACACAUUUCCUUAUGGAAGUUUCCUCAAAAUUUCUAAUAGGAAUUUCAACUAAGUUAAAGUACUAAUUUAAGUAGGACAAGACAGAAUUCUCUUCCUUCCCAGACACUAUUACAAGCCAAACCACGUUUCACAGGAACACGUCCUGCCUGCUAAGGUGUCCCCUAGGACAAAGCUGCUUGCCAGCUGACCAUCACUUGUAUUGCAUACUUUAAAAAGUGUGGCUAACAGAAAGGAGGCAAGACAGAUGUUAUUUAAAUAAAAGCACAAAGCAUCUGUUCAAGCACGAAAAAACAUAUGGGAAAAUACAA